AGUAGUGGUUUGAUCGUAGUUGUUGCCUUUCGUGUUUAGAAAUGAAAUAACGGUCAAGAAUAAAUUACAAGAGCGCAUUAAUUGCURUCUACGUUAAAACAUCAGGAUAAAACGGGCCUAAACCUAAGUUAAAGUUUUAUCGGGUUUUCAGAGUACCCAUAUUAACGAGCGCUCUGUAAGAAUAAAUAAGCUUAACCUUGCUUGUUUCGUGACKAAAUUCGAAAAUGCGCAUUUCACAGAAAAGAUUAGUUCUCGCGUUCACCAUAUUUUCAUUGUUCAUAGUAUUUUUCUGUUGGAUCCUCAGUGAAAUGUUGUUCAAAGAAGACGUUAAAAAAACAGCAAGCUUUUCGGGUGGCAUUUAUAAUCAUAACUACACAUCUCGUGAAGAUGGGAUAUGGCCAUCGUUUAAAAGACACUUCAUCAUGUCGAAUGUUGUAGCAGAAAGGAACAACAAUAACAGCAAUUUUUCAGGAGUUGCUUGUGCUUCAGAACUUUACCUCACAACCUGUGGUAAUCCAGGUAUGGCAGCAUUGAUACUCAUGACUUUAGAUCACAUCAGUUUAUGUCAUAAUAUUGGAGGAAUGCCCACAAUUUUCUGGCGAAACUGUUACACUGUAUGCCCAAGAAAUGCAUCUGUUAAUGCAUGGGAAUUAUUCUUUGAGUCAGUUAACUUUAAGAUAGAAGACCAAGUAAAGAAAGUUUUUUGUCUGGGCAAUUAUUUAGGCCCUGAAGCAGUCAUUCAAUCCCACUUGAACAUCAAACGAAGUACUGACAAAAAUGUUGAAAGAAAAAGUUUGUUAAAUCUCAGCUUCCGUCAUCGUGAUGUUGAAGGUUUUGAAGGAAUUAUCUCUCGACGGGUAAGACAAUAUGCAAAUAGCCUUAUCAAGCAGUAUAUCAAAGUACGUCCAAAUAUCCAACAGAUGGUCGAUGUGUUUUUUUCCAAAUAUAUGAAGGGCUACCAUGUACUUGCUGUUCAUAUCAGAGGAACUGAUCAUGGGGAUGAAAUGGAGGAUGGAAAGCUUCCUCAACUAAUGACAUGGAUAAAGAAUGCUGAAUAUCAUUUUGAAAGUCUUCCAUCACCUAAGAAAAUAUUUAUUGCAAGUGACAACAGUGAGAGUAUUAGAAAGUUUAUUUCAGAGUUUGGAGACAAGGUUAUUUUUACCAAAGCUCACAGAUCCUACAAUUACGAGGGCAUGGACUCGGUUCAUUUAUCAAACAUUGAUCACUAUAAACUUGGAACAGAGGUUCUUGUGGAUAUUCUUCUUAUGGCCAAAUGCAGGCAUUUCUUACAUGCUGAAUCAAGUGUUGCAUCUUUGGUUGCUUACUUCAACCCUGAUAUAUACACACAUUUUUUGGACCACAUACCAAAAGAAAAAUAUAAGGUACUUAUUCUAGACUGAAAUUCUAAUUCUAAUAUCUAUCUUGUGGAAACAUAUGAUCAAACAAAUUAUUUUUCAAAAAAGAGAGGAGGGAGAGAGAUUCAUUUAUGUAGAUAAGAGGGAGUUAUUUUUUGAACCCACCUUUGGGAUCAAUUAUUGAUCUAUUACUAAGAUGAUACAAAUAGCUUUAGCUAAAGUACAUGACUAAAAUGCAAUUAGGAGCUAUGGCAGGCUAUUACAUGCUCUACAGUUUGCAAUAGGAAAAUAUGCAUCAGGCAACAAUAGUCCACAGGCCCUAUAGACUAAAAUAUUACUGUUCUUAGCUCCAAUGUUUCCAUCCACCUUUGUUUCACCUUCCUUUUACUAUAGCUAACAUUUUUAAUGUUGUUUUCAUUGCAUGCUCUGAUUAUAAGGGUAAUUAUUCUGUUUUUAGCAGCCUGACACAAGCUUCAUGUUCUUUUUUCCUUCUUUUGAGAGCUCGAUCUCUCUCUCUCUCCACGGCUGUCAAUCAUUUACCAGAUACCAUGCAAGAACUGGAAUAUCUUAUAUGUAUUUGAGAGAAAGGAAGCUGAUAAAAAAGUUCCAAGAAAAAGCAAUUCUAAUAUUAAUCUACAUGAAAGUGAUA